AAAGAUUAAGCCAUGCAUGUCUAAGUAUAAGCAAUUAUACAGCGAAACUGCGAAUGGCUCAUUAUAUAAGUUAUCGUUUAUUUGAUAGCACCUUACUACUUGGAUAACCGUGGUAAUUCUAGAGCUAAUACAUGCUAAAAAUCCCGACUCCGGAAGGGAUGUAUUUAUUAGAUUAAAAACCAAUGCCCUCUGGGCUCUUUGGUGAUUCAUGAUAACUUUGCGGAUCGCACGGCCUUGCGCCGGCGAUGGUUCAUUCAAAUUUCUUCCCUAUCAACUUUCGAUGUUUGGGUAGUGGCCAAACAUGGUGGCAACGGGUAACGGAGGGUUAGGGCUCGGCCCCGGAGAAGGAGCCUGAGAAACGGCUACUACAUCCAAGGAAGGCAGCAGGCGCGCAAAUUACCCAAUCCCGACACGGGGAGGUAGUGACAAUAAAUACUGAUACAGGGCUCUUUUGGGUCUUGUAAUUGGAAUGAGUACAAUUUAAAUCCCUUAACGAGGAACAAUUGGAGGGCAAGUCUGGUGAACGUCGCUGGUGCCAGAGAGAGCCGCCCUCGGUAAACAAGCGGCUAGUCGAGUGCUCGUUGCGUGACGGGUGAGCGCCGGCGAGACAACCUGGAUCGGGGAAGGCUAAGGGGCCCCGGGGGCCUACGCUGAUCCCGAGCAGAGCCAGCCCACUGGCCUGUGUAGAGCGCGCCAAGGUGUCGGUCCCGAGGUCCUCCUCGGGGCUUAAGGUACGUGCCAACCCCCUGCGAAAGCAGGGCCCUGCGGAGCAGCACCCGUCGUGCGAAGCCGCAGGGAGCCCCCGCCCCUCCCCCGAGGGGCGUGCGCUGUAACAUGCGCUGUAACAUGGCCAGCAGCCGCGGUAAUUCCAGCUCCAAUAGCGUAUAUUAAAGUUGUUGUGGUUAAAAAGCUCGUAGUUGAACCUUGGGCCUGGCUGGCCGGUCCGCCUCACCGCGUGCACUGGUCCGGCCGGGCCUUUCCCUCUGUGGAACCCCAUGCCCUUCACUGGGUGUGGCGGGGAAACAGGACUUUUACUUUGAAAAAAUUAGAGUGCUCCAGGCAGGCCUAUGCUCGAAUACAUUAGCAUGGAAUAAUGAAAUAGGACGUGCGGUUCUAUUUUGUUGGUUUCUAGGACCGCCGUAAUGAUUAAUAGGGACAGUCGGGGGCAUCAGUAUUCAAUUGUCAGAGGUGAAAUUCUUGGAUUUAUUGAAGACUAACUACUGCGAAAGCAUUUGCCAAGGAUGUUUUCAUUAAUCAGGAACGAAAGUUAGGGGAUCGAAGACGAUCAGAUACCGUCGUAGUCUUAACCAUAAACUAUGCCGACUAGGGAUCGGACGAUGUUAUAUUUUGACGCGUUCGGCACCUUACGAGAAAUCAAAGUGCUUGGGCUCCAGGGGGAGUAUGGUCGCAAGGCUGAAACUUAAAGAAAUUGACGGAAGGGCACCACCAGGGGUGGAGCCUGCGGCUUAAUUUGACUCAACACGGGGAAACUCACCAGGUCCAGACACAAUGAGGAUUGACAGAUUGAGAGCUCUUUCUUGAUUUUGUGGGUGGUGGUGCAUGGCCGUUCUUAGUUGGUGGAGUGAUUUGUCUGCUUAAUUGCGAUAACGAACGAGACCUUGACCUGCUAAAUAGCCCGUAUUGCUUUGGCAGUACGCCGGCUUCUUAGAGGGACUAUCGGCUCAAGCCGAUGGAAGUUCGAGGCAAUAACAGGUUGAAGCAUUACAGGCCUGUCAUAGUGGGCCUCGUUAAAGAUUUACCGCUAGUCUAGCGACUUUACCUCCGCGGGGAAGCCCCCAUUGUCGGGCGGAGGGGGCCCUGAGAAGGGGCCCUGUUGCGGGCGACACCACCUGGAACAGGGAACGCCGCGAACCCUUCACUGGGGGACGGCCGAUCCUGUGGCGAGCCUGGGUUGCGCCAGGCCGUCGCAACGCGCGCAAAGGGGUGGGCCUUCACCGAAGGCUUAAGGUACGUGCUAAUCCCGUGGGUGACCACGCCGCCGCGACUAGGCCCGAUAUGCCGAAGCGCGGGGGGGCCACAGGCGCUACGGCGCCCGUGGCCGGGGCUCUCGCGGCACGCCGCGGGGGCCGUCUGCUGUGAUGCCCUUCGAUGUUCUGGGCCGCACGCGCGCUACACUGACGGAGCCAGCGAGUACUCCCUUGGCCGGAAGGCCCGGGUAAUCUUGUUAAACUCCGUCGUGCUGGGGAUAGAGCAUUGCAAUUAUUGC
rnacentral:rRNA from 1 species